CGGAGGGUGCAAGCGUUAUCCGGAUUCACUGGGUUUAAAGGGUGCGUAGGCGGGUAAGUAAGUCAGUGGUGAAAUCUCCGGGCUUAACUCGGAAACUGCCGUUGAUACUAUUUAUCUUGAAUAUCAUGGAGGUAAGCGGAAUAUGUCAUGUAGCGGUGAAAUGCUUAGAUAUGACAUAGAACACCGAUAGCGAAGGCAGCUUACUACAUGUUAAUUGACGCUGAGGCACGAAAGCGUGGGGAGCAAACAGGAUUAGAUACCCUGGUAGUCCACGCCCUAAACGAUGGAUACUCGACAUCAGCGAUACACUGUUGGUGUCUGAGCGAAAGCAUUAAGUAUCCCACCUGGGAAGUACGACCGCAAGGUUG
rnacentral:rRNA from 1 species